GGUGAACGCUGGCGGCGUGCUUAAGACAUGCAAGUCGAACGGCAGUCUUCGGACUGUAGUGGCGCACGGGUGAGUAACGCGUAACUGACCUACCCCAAAGUCGCGGAUAACGAUUCGAAAGAAUCGCUAAUACGUGAUGUGCUGUCAGAUUGUGUUCUGCCAGUAAAGAUUGAUUGCUUUGGGUUGGGGUUGCGUUCCAUCAGCUAGUUGGUGGGGUAAAGGCCCACCAAGGCGACGACGGAUAGCCGGCCUGAGAGGGUGGCCGGCCACAGGGGCACUGAGACACAGGUCCCACUCCUACGGGAGGCAGCAGUUAGGAAUCUUCCACAAUGGGCGAAAGCCCGAUGGAGCGACGCCGCGUGAGGGAUGAAGGUCUUCGGAUCGUAAACCUCUGAAUCAGGGACGAAAGACACUUCGGUGGGAUGACGGUACCUGAGCAAUAGCACCGGCUAACUCCGUGCCAGCCGCCGCGGUAAUAC
rnacentral:rRNA from 1 species